rnacentral:ncRNA from 1 species
UUACAAACAAUGAAGGGGACAGUACAAUUUUUCUGCUUUUAUCCAGCGAGUCGAGGAUGGUGGAAGCUCGAUUAAAAAGGGAAAUUGGAAAAUCACCCCGGAGUUCCUGCUCUGAAAUUGAAUAGUAAGGGUGGGCGUGUUUCACGUUAUAAAAUGAGCGGACAAAGAACGUCUUUUCUCUUUGUCUAUUUGGGUGGUACCGCGGGAAAGCUUUCUCGUCCCAUAU